UACGUAGGGUGCGAGCGUUAAUCGGAAUUACUGGGCGUAAAGCGUGCGCAGGCGGCUAUAUAAGACAGAGGUGAAAUCCCCGGGCUCAACCUGGGAACUGCCUUUGUGACUGUAUAGCUUGAGUGCGGCAGAGGGGGAUGGAAUUCCGCGUGUAGCAGUGAAAUGCGUAGAUAUGCGGAGGAACACCGAUGGCGAAGGCAAUCCCCUGGGCCUGCACUGACGCUCAUGCACGAAAGCGUGGGGAGCAAACAGG
rnacentral:rRNA from 1 species